rfam:Triticum urartu cultivar G1812 contig505825, whole genome shotgun sequence.
AACAUACUCCCUCUGGUCUGAAUUACUUGUCGCAGGUAUGGAUGUAUCUAGAUGUAUUUUAGUUCUAUAUACAUCCAUUUCUGCGACGAGUAAUUUGGAACAGAGGGAGUACUUG